GCUCGAAGCGCGUCGUGGUAUUUCGCGUAUUGUAAUUUCAACACGAGCGGGGUCAAAUCCUUUGCAGACGACUUAGCUGUGCGAAACGGUCCUGUAAGCAGUAGAGUAGCCUUGUUGUUACGAUCUGCUGAGGGUAAGCCGUCCUUCGCCUCGAUUU
rnacentral:rRNA from 1 species